GCUCGUAGUUGAAUAUCCGGCGUCUCUGACGUCUGCCCGACUCGGCUGUAGAUGUUGAAAGACUUUUACUGAUCGAUCAGGCGUUUACUGUGAACAAAUUAGAGUGCUACAAAACAGGCUUUUUGCUUGAAUUUUUUAGCAUGGAAUAAUAAAAUACGACUUCGCUCAUUUUAUUGGUUCUUGGACGAAGUAAUGGUUAACAGGAACAGUUGGGGCAUUCGUACUUAAAAGUCAGAGGUGAAAUUCUUAGAUUUUUUAAAGACGAACUAAUGCGAAGGCAUUUGCCAAGGAUGUUUUCAUUAAUCAAGAACGAAAGCGUUGGGAUCAAAAAGGAUCAGAUACCCUUGUAGUCAACGCCGUAAACGAUACUGACUAGGGAUUGGUGAGGAUAACCCUCAUCAGCACCUAAUGAGAAAUCAAAGUCUUUGAGUUCUGGGGAGAGUAUGGUCGCAAGGCUGAAACUUAAAGGAAUUGACGGAAAGAUACACAAGUCGUGGAUUCUGCGGCUCAAUUUGAUUCAACACGGGGU
rnacentral:rRNA from 1 species